rnacentral:rRNA from 1 species
GUAGGUGGCAAGCGUUGUCCGGAAUUAUUGGGCGUAAAGCGCGCGCAGGCGGUUCUUUAAGUCUGAUGUGAAAGCCCACGGGCUCAACCGUGGAGGGUCAUUGGAAACUGGAGAACUUGAGUACAGAAGAGGAAAGCGGAAUUCCACGUGUAGCGGUGAAAUGCGUAGAGAUGUGGAGGAACACCAGUGGCGAAGGCGGCUUUCUGGUCUGUAACUGACGCUGAGGCGCGAAAGCGUGGGGAGCAAACAGGAUUAGAUACCCUGGUAGUCCACGCCGUAAACGAUGAGUGCUAAGUGGUUACGGGGGUUUCCGCCCCUUAGUGCUGCAGCUAACGCAUUAAGCACUCCGCCGUGGGGAGUACGGCCGCAAGGCU